AUACGGAGGGUGCAAGCGUUACUCGGAAUCACUGGGCGUAAAGCGCGCGCAGGCGGCUAUUUAAGUUGGAUGUGAAAGCCUACGGCUCAACCGUAGAACUGCAUCCAAAACUAUUUAGCUAGAGUGUGGGAGAGGAAGAUGGAAUUAGUUGUGUAGGGGUAAAAUCCGUAGAGAUAACUAUGAAUACCAAAAGCGAAGGCAAUCUUCUGGAACACUACUGACGCUGAGGCGCGAAAGCGUGGGGAGCAAACGGGAUUAGAAACCCUAGUAGUCC
rnacentral:rRNA from 1 species